AUGGGGCGCAGCAGGCGCGAAACCUCCGCAAUGCGGGCAACCGCGACGGGGGGACCCCCAGUGCCGUGGCAUCGCCACGGCUUUUCCGGAGUGUAAAGAGCUCCGGGAAUAAGGGCUGGGCAAGGCCGGUGGCAGCCGCCGCGGUAAUACCGGCGGCCCGAGUGGUGGCCGCUAUUAUUGGGCCUAAAGCGUCCGUAGCCGGGCCCGUAAGUCCCUGGCGAAAUCCCACGGCUCAACCGUGGGGCUUGCUGGGGAUACUGCGGGCCUUGGGACCGGGAGAGGCGGAGGGUACUCCUGGGGUAGGGGUGAAAUCCUAUAAUCCCAGGAGGACCGCCAGUGGCGAAGGCGCUCCGCUGGAACGGGUCCGACGGUGAGGGACGAAGGCCAGGGGAGCGAACCGGAUUAGAUACCCGGGUAGUCCUGGCUGUAAAGGAUGCGGGCUAGGUGUCGGGCGAGCUUCGAGCUCGCUCGGUGCCGAAGGGAAGCCGUUAAGCCUGCCGCCUGGGGAGUACGGCCGCAAGGCUGAAACUUAAAGGAAUUGGCGGGGGAGCACUACAAGGGGUGGAGCGUGCGGUUUAAUUGGAUUCAACGCCGGGAACCUCACCGGGGGCGACGGCAGGAUGAAGGCCGGGCUGAAGGUCUUGCCGGACACGCCGAGAGGAGGUGCAUGGCCGCCGUCAGCUCGUACCGUGAGGCGUCCACUUAAGUGUGGUAACGAGCGAGACCCGCGCCCCCAGUUGCCAGUCCUCCCCGCUGGGGAGGAGGCACUCUGGGGGGACCGCCCGGCGAUAAGCCGGAGGAAGGAGCGGGCGACGGUAGGUC
rnacentral:rRNA from 1 species